rnacentral:rRNA from 1 species
UUCCCAGACUCCUACGGGAGGCAGCAGUGGGGAAUAUUGCACAAUGGGGGGAGCCCUGAUGCAGCGACGCCGCGUGAGUGAAGAAGUAUUUCGGUAUGUAAAGCUCUGUCAGCAGGGAAGAAGAAAGACGGUACCUGACCAAGAAGCCCCGGCUAACUACGUGCCAGCAGCCGCGGCAAUACGUAGGGGGCAAGCGUUAUCCGGAUUUACUGGGUGUAAAGGGAGCGUAGACGGCAGGGCAAGUCUGGAGUGAAAGGCAGGGGCCCAACCCCUGGACUGCAUUUGGAACUGUGCGGCUGGAGUGUCGGAGAGGCAGGCGGAAUUCCUAGUGUAGCGGUGAAAUGCGUAGAUAUUAGGAGGAACACCAGUGGCGAAGGCGGCCUGCUGGACGAUGACUGACGUUGAGGCUCGAAAGCGUGGGGAGCAAACAGGAUUAGAUACCCGGGUAA